UGAAAUGAGAGAUGAAGAUAAAGAGUAAUCACCAAAUUAAAGAACAGCAAUUAAACCGGCUUAGAAACAGAGAGCUCACUUAAGAACCUCUACGAAUGGGCCUCCUUCCCACAGCAAAACUUCAAUGGUCUGAUGAUGUCCAUAGUGCUGAGACACAUACUUCUGCCCCUACUCUCCAGUACAGUCACAGGCUUCCAGCCGCUGCCUCUGAAGCAGAUCGCCGAUGUUAAGGGUCGAGGUUGAUUGACCGCCCUUCUUUUUGGGAAGCGUCCGCUGAUAUCUUAACUCACCUUUGCCAUACUGCACUCUGGACCCAUACCGCAGUUCACAGAGCAAGCUGUGUGGAAAAUACUGGUAACACAAGUAUCUGGGUCAGGAAAUAAAGGGUGCCUUCCUACUGAGUUUCAUGUAAGCCCUUUAUUGCUGCCACUCCCACUCUGAGUGCGUCCUCUCCUGAUUACUUUGAUCCCUUUCCAUCUGGCCUGAACAUUCAAAAACACAGUGGAGA
rnacentral:lncRNA from 1 species